UACGUAGGGUGCAAGCGUUGUCCGGAAUUAUUGGGCGUAAAGAGCUCGUAGGCGGUCUGUCGCGUCGAAUGUGAAAACCCGGGGCUCAACCCCGGGCCUGCAUUCGAUACGGGCAGACUAGAGUUCGGUAGGGGAGACUGGAAUUCCUGGUGUAGCGGUGAAAAUGCGCAGAUAUCAGGAGGAACACCGGUGGCGAAGGCGGGGUCUCUGGGCCGAUACUGACGUGAGGAGCGAAAAGCGUGGGGGGAGCGAACAGGAUUAGAAACCCCCGGUAGC
rnacentral:rRNA from 1 species